GCGAUGAAGAAGAAGAAACAAUAGAUCAUAUUGAACCACGAAAAAUUCUGAAGAAGAAAUAGACUUGCACGGGUACUAUUUCAUCAUUACCACCAUGUCCUUCCAAUUUGGAAUUAAACGAAUUUUAUAACAUUGUACCAGUUACUGAUACAAACGAAAUAAAUGACCCAUUGCUCACGAGACCUGAGGAAAGGCAAAGCUCGAAUAUCCCG